rnacentral:rRNA from 1 species
UACGUAGGGGGCAAGCGUUGUUCGGAAUUACUGGGCGUAAAGGGCUCGUAGGCGGCCAACUAAGUCAAACGUGAAAUCCCUCGGCUUAACCGGGGAACUGCGUCUGAUACUGGAUGGCUUGAGUUUGGGAGAGGGAUGCGGAAUUCCAGGUGUAGCGGUGAAAUGCGUAGAUAUCAUGAGGAAGACCAGUGGCGAAGGCGGGUCUCUGGACAGUUCCUGACACUGAGACACGAAGGCCAGGGGAGCAAACGGG